UAUAUUACCUUGGAGUCUACACCUGCCCAAGAAUCCUAGGUGGGGAUAGUACCACCUACGUGAUUAUAUUGAGCAGUAUACCCUGCUCAUCCAAAUGUGAGUACUUUUAUUUCUUCAUUUUAAAUUUAUCUUAAUCAUACAUACAGUGAGCACUAUAUUUGGCUCUUAUCUCUUUUCCAUACCGAGGAAUUAUCAUCACCCAUAUC